rnacentral:rRNA from 1 species
CCUACGGGGGGCAGCAGUGGGGAAUAUUGCACAAUGGGCGAAAGCCUGAUGCAGCAACGCCGCGUGAAGGAAGACGGUUUUCGGAUUGUAAACUUCUAUCAAUAGGGAAGAAAGAAAUGACGGUACCUGACUAAGAAGCCCCGGCUAACUACGUGCCAGCAGCCGCGGUAAUACGUAGGGGGCAAGCGUUAUCCGGAUUUACUGGGUGUAAAGGGAGCGUAGGCGGCCACGCAAGUCAGAAGUGAAAACCCGGGGCUCAACCCUGGGAGUGCUUUUGAAACUGUGCGGCUAGAGUGUCGGAGGGG